ensembl:snRNA U6 U6 spliceosomal RNA
GGGCUCACUUCAGCAGCACAUAUACUAAAACUGGAACAGUAUAGAGAAGAUUAGCAUGGCCCCUGAGCAAGGGUGACAGGCAAAUUCAUUAAGCAUUCCAUAUUUUU